rnacentral:rRNA from 1 species
AACGAACGCUGGCGGCAGGCUUAACACAUGCAAGUCGAACGCCCCGCAAGGGGAGUGGCAGACGGGUGAGUAACGCGUGGGAAUCUACCUAGUUCUACGGAACAACUGAGGGAAACUUCAGCUAAUACCGUAUACGCCCUACGGGGGAAAGAUUUAUCGGAAUUAGAUGAGCCCGCGUUGGCUUAGCUAGUUGGUGGGGUAAUGGCCUACCAAGGCGACGAUCCAUAGCUGGUCUGAGAGGAUGACCAGCCACACUGGGACUGAGACACGGCCCAGUCUCCAACGGGAGGCAGCAGUGGGGAAUAUUGGACAAUGGGCGCAAGCCUGAUCCAGCCAUGCCGCGUGAGUGAUGAAGGCCUUAGGGUUGUAAAGCUCUUUCAGUGGGGAAGAUAAGGACGGUACCCACAGAAGAAGCCCCGGCUAACUUCGUGCCAGCAGCCGCGGUAA